rnacentral:rRNA from 1 species
GACGAACGCUGGCGGCGUGCUUAACACAUGCAAGUCGAACGGUGAUGCUCCAGCUUGCUGGAGUGGAUCAGUGGCGAACGGGUGAGUAACACGUGAGCAACCUGCCCCAGACUCUGGAAUAAGCGCUGGAAACGGCGUCUAAUACUGGAUACGAAACUGGCCCGCAUGGGAAGGGUUUGGAAAGUUUUUCGGUUUGGGAUGGGCUCGCGGCCUAUCAGCUUGUUGGUGAGGUAAUGGCUCACCAAGGCGACGACGGGUAGCCGGCCUGAGAGGGCGACCGGCCACACUGGGACUGAGACACGGCCCAGACUCCUACGGGAGGCAGCAGUGGGGAAUAUUGCACAAUGGGCGAAAGCCUGAUGCAGCGACGCCGCGUGAGGGAUGACGGCCUUCGGGUUGUAAACCUCUUUCAGCAGGGAAGAAGCGAAAGUGACGGUACCUGCAGAAGAAGCACCGGCUAACUACGUG